rnacentral:rRNA from 1 species
UGGGGAAUUUUUCGCAAUGGGCGCAAGCCUGACGAAGCAACGCCGCGUGGAGGAUGAAGGUCUUCGGAUUGUAAACUCCUGUCGACCGGGACGAAUGCACCCGACCUAAUACGUCGGAGUGUUGACGGUACCGGUGGAGGAAGCCACGGCUAACUCUGUGCCAGCAGCCGCGGUAAUACAGAGGUGGCAAGCGUUGUUCGGAAUUACUGGGCGUAAAGGGCGCGUAGGCGGCCUUGUAAGUCUCGUGUGAAAGCCCUCGGCUUAACUGAGGAUCUGCACGGGAUACUGUAAGGCUCGAGUUCGGGAGAGGAAAGCGGAAUUCCGGGUGUAGCGGUGAAAUGCGUAGAUAUCAGGAGGAACACCCGUGGCGAAGGCGGAUCUCUGGACCGGUUCUGACGCUGAGGAGCGAAAGCUAGGGGAGCAAACAGGAUUAGAUACCCAAGUAGUCCCUGAGCGGGCUGGCAAGGCGCAU